rnacentral:rRNA from 1 species
GCUUAGGCCAUACCACCCUGAAUGCGCCCGAUCUCGUCUGAUCUCGGAAGCUAAGCAGGUCAGGCCUGGUUAGUACUUGGAUGGGAGACCUCCUGGGAAUACCAGGUGCUGUAAGCU